rnacentral:rRNA from 1 species
CACGUAGGAGGCGAGCGUUGUCCGGAAUUAUUGGGCGUAAAGAGCUCGUAGGCGGUCUGUCGCGUCUGCUGUGAAAACUCAGGGCUUAACCCUGAGCUUGCAGUGGGUACGGGCAGACUAGAGUGCGGUAGGGGAGACUGGAAUUCCUGGUGUAGCGGUGAAAUGCGCAGAUAUCAGGAAGAACACCCGUGGCGAAGGCGGCUCUCUGGGACGGUACUGACGCUGAGGUGCGAAAGCGUGGGGAGCAAACAGG